UAGGGAAUCUUCGGCAAUGGACGAAAGUCUGACCGAGCAACGCCGCGUGAGUGAAGAAGGUUUUCGGAUCGUAAAACUCUGUUGUUAGAGAAGAACAAGGACGUUAGUAACUGAACGUCCCCUGACGGUAUCUAACCAGAAAGCCACGGCUAACUACGUGCCAGCAGCCGCGGUAAUACGUAGGUGGCAAGCGUUGUCCGGAUUUAUUGGGCGUAAAGCGAGCGCAGGCGGUUUCUUAAGUCUGAUGUGAAAGCCCCCGGCUCAACCGGGGAGGGUCAUUGGAAACUGGGGGACUUGAGUGCAGAAGAGGAGAGUGGAAUUCCAUGUGUAGCGGUGAAAUGCGUAGAUAUAUGGAGGAACACCAGUGGCGAGGGCGGCUCUCUGGUCUGUAACUGACGCUGAGGCUCGAAAGCGUGGGGAGCAAACAGG
rnacentral:rRNA from 1 species